rnacentral:rRNA from 1 species
UCGACGGAGAGUUUGAUCCUGGCUCAGGACGAACGCUGGCGGCGUGCUUAACACAUGCAAGUCGAGCGGGGUCCACCCAGUGGCAACACUGGUGAAGACCUAGCGGCGAACGGGUGAGUAACACGUGAGGAACCUGCCCCAAAGACUGGGAUAACUCCGGGAAACCGGAGCUAAUACCGGAUGCCCUCAUCGGAUCGCAUGGUCCGGAGAGGAAAGGAUUUCCGCUUUGGGAGGGUCUCGCGGCCUAUCAGCUUGUUGGUGAGGUAACGGCUCACCAAGGCUUCGACGGGUAGCUGGUCUGAGAGGACGAUCAGCCACACUGGGACUGAGACACGGCCCAGACUCCUACGGGAGGCAGCAGUGGGGAAUCUUGCGCAAUGGGCGAAAGCCUGACGCAGCAACGCCGCGU